rnacentral:tRNA from 1 species
UUCCCUGUGGCUCAUCUGGUAAAGAAUCUGCCUGCAAUGCAGGAAAUCUGGGUUCAAGCCCUGUUGGGAAG